AUUGAACGCUGGCGGCAGGCCUAACACAUGCAAGUCGAGCGAGCGGCGGACGGGUGUGUAAUGUCUGGGAAACUGCCUGCUGGAGGGGGAUAACUACUGGAAACGGUAGCUAAUACCGCUAACCAUCAGAUGUGCCCAGAUGGGAUUAGCUAGUAGGUAAGGUGAAGGCCUCCCAAGGCGACGAUCCGUAACUGGGCCGAGAGGAUGAUCAGUCAAACUGGAACUGAGAGACGGUCCAGCGUCCUACGGGCGGAAGCGGUGGGGAAUAUUGGACAAUGGGCGAAAGCCUGAUACAGCCAUGCCGCGUGUGUGAAGAAGGUCUUCGGGUUGUAAAGCACUUAAAGUUGGGAGGCGUUACCAACAGAAUAAGCACCGGCUAACUACGUGCCAGCAGCCGCGGUAAUAC
rnacentral:rRNA from 1 species